CAAUAGCGUAUAUUAAAGUUGUUGCAGUUAAAAAGCUCGUAGUUGGAUUUCGGGGCAGCCUGGCUGGUCCGCCGCAAGGCGAGUACUGGUCAGCCGCCCUUCCUCCCGAAAGCCCCGACUGCUCUUUAUUGCAGUGGUCGGGUAGUUCGGGACGUUUACUUUGAAAAAAUUAGAGUGUUCAAGGCAGGCCUACGCCUGAAUACAUUAGCAUGGAAUAAUGGAAGAGGACCUCGGUCCUAUUUUGUUGGUUUCCAGGACCGAAGUAAUGAUUAAGAGGGACAGUUGGGGGCAUUCGUAUUUAAUUGUCAGAGGUGAAAUUCUCGGAUUUAUGAAAGACGAACAACUGCGAAAGCAUUUGCCAAGGAUGUUUUCAUUAA
rnacentral:rRNA from 1 species